rnacentral:rRNA from 1 species
AACGUAGGUUCCGAGCGUUAUCCGGAUUUACUGGGCGUAAAGCGCGUUCAGGCGGUUUGGCAAGUCGGGCAUGAAAUCUCUCGGCUCAACCGGGAGAGGUUGUCCGAUACUUCCAGACUUGAGGGCAGUAGAGGGUGGUGGAAUUCCGGGUGGAGUGGUGAAAUGCGUAGAGAUCCGGAGGAACACCAGAGGCGAAGGCGGCCUGCUGGGCUGCACCUGACGCUGAGCCGCGAAAGCCAGGGGAGCGAACGGG